GGCCACUUCAUGCUGAAAUACCAGUUCCGAUAUGAUCACAGAAGUUAAGUAACAUCAAGCCUGGUUAGUACCUAGAUGAGUGACUGCUUAAGAAUACUAGGUGUUGUAA